CGACUUCCAAAACAUGGCAUGGAACCGGAUCUGGAGCCUAGGUUUGCCCUUCUCCCUUUCCUGGAGUUAGUGCCUCUUUGCCUCCAGAGAGAUUCGGUUCGGUGUUGAACGUGGAAGAAGCAGCGGGUGCCAUACGGUGACCUGUGCCUGCUGCAAAGACCUGAUUCCUAAAGCCGCUUCACCGGGAUCUAAAUCAGUGGGCAUGGAAGCUUUGCAAACCAGCCAGUCAGUGACUCAACCUGAGCCUGAGGAAGCCAGACCAGGAGAUCCCUCUACCGAAAGGCAAGGAAGCUUCCAGCAAAUGUUCUAGCCAUCCAGACCACACUGAGUUUUGUCUCGUUCUACAACUCAGGAAAAACUGAUGCCCAGAGAGAUUAACCGAUGAACUACAGAACCCAUGUUUAGAGAAAACCAGCAGAAAGAAAUCCAUCUGCUACUCUCAUCCUCAGAACUUCCUGAUAAAUACAGUCUUGACAAAGAUGUUCCAGUGGACAAGGGUGUUGAAGACCCUUCUACCAUUAUCAACCGAGUGGUGAGGGCAGGUGACUUAACCUCACAGCAUCAUCUCCUCACCGAUAAAUAGGAGCUCGUCCCACCUGCCCUGGUACGCUGCUAGGAAGAGAAGAGCUGCAGAACUUGGUAAACAAAGCAUUCUGUCAAUGUGAGGAGUCAUUACCAGCUGCUUGGGCACAUUUAAGAUGACUAAUAAGUGUUCACCUGCACAUGGCCGUAGCCAUGAGUCAAGUAUGGCCACGGAACAGAAGCUGUCUUGGUCACUAGGGGGCCCUGGGUUGAUUUCUAGCUGUUUACAUUUGAAGACUCCCUGUAAAGUUGGAAAUGUUUAAGCAUUUGGUUUUGGUUUCCGUUACCCCUUGGCGAUGUAUAAUGGCUUUCUGCUGUUCUUUAGAAGGUUAGGGGCCAGUGAGUGGAACGCGCUGAGACAGUUGCAUCUUGAAUAUCUCCCAGAAGCCCAUGCAAUAAAGUCUUGGUCUAAACGCACAGCUAUUUGAAGGAUGGUAACCCUUUAAGAGGUAGGGUCCAGAGGGGGGUCUUUAGGCCACUGGGAAUACAGUCUCAAAGUGGA